UUGGUAAAAAAUUCUUUUUUUUUAGGGGAAGAAACAAGUACCCGUUUGGAAUAAGGGCCGGUACCCUUGACCGGUACCUCACCCAGAAAAGCCACGGGUUAAAUUACGUGGCCAGCAGGCCGCGGGUAAUAACGUAGGUGGGCAAGCGUUUGUCCUGGAAAUUAUUGGGCGUAAAAGGGCUCGCAGGGCGGUUUCUUUAAGUCUGAUGUGAAAGCCCCCCGGCUCAACCCGUGGAGAGUCAUUGGAAAAUGGGGAACUUGAGUGCAGAAGAGGAGAGUGGAAUUUCACGUGUAGCGGUGAAAUGCGUAGAGAUGUGGAGGAACACCAGUGGCGAAGGCGACUCUCUGGUCUGUAACUGACGCUGAGGAGCGAAAGCGUGGGGAGCGAACAGGAUUAGAUACCCUGGUAGUCCACGCCGUAAACGAUGAGUGCUAAGUGUUAGGGGGUUUCCGCCCCUUAGUGCUGCAGCUAACGCAUUAAGCACUCCGCCUGGGGAGUACGGUCGCAAGACUGAAACUCAAAGGAAUUGACGGGGGCCCGCACAAGCGGUGGAGCAUGUGGUUUAAUUCGAAGCAACGCGAAGAACCUUACCAGGUCUUGACAUCCUGUGAAAAUCCUAGAGAUAGGACGUCCCCUUCGGGGGCUGAGUGACAGGUGGUGCAUGGUUGUCGUCAGCUCGUGUCGUGAGAUGUUGGGUUAAGUCCCGCAACGAGCGCAACCCUUGAUCUUAGUUGCCAGCAUUCAGUUGGGCAAUUUAAGGUGAAUGCCGGUGACAAACCGGAGGAAGGUGGGGAUGAAGUCAAAUCAUCAUGCCCCUUAUGACGUGGGGUACACACGUGGUACAAUGGACAGAACAAAGGGCAGCGAAACCGGGAGGUUCAGCCAAUCCCACAAAUCUGUUCUCAGUUCGGAUCGCAGUUUGCAAAUUGAAUGCGUGAAGCUGGAAUCUGCGUAUGUAUAUCUGCGUGAUCUAGCAUGCCGCGGUGAAUACGUUCCCGGGCCUUGUACACACACGCGCCGUCUACACCACGAGAGUUUGUAACACCAGAGAGUGCGGUGAGGUAACCUUUUAGGAGGCGCAGCCGCACGCAACGUUGG
rnacentral:rRNA from 1 species